rnacentral:rRNA from 1 species
UACGGAGGGAGCUAGCGUUGUUCGGAAUUACUGGGCGUAAAGCGCGCGUAGGCGGCUUUGUAAGUUAGAGGUGAAAGCCCGGAGCUCAACUCCGGAACUGCCUUUAAAACUGCAUCGCUUGAAUCCAGGAGAGGUGAGUGGAAUUCCGAGUGUAGAGGUGAAAUUCGUAGAUAUUCGGAAGAAACACCAGUGGCGAAGGCGGCUCACUGGACUGGUAUUGACGCUGAGGUGGCGAAAGCGUGGGGAGCAAACAGG